CAGCAGUAUAAGUAAAUGACAAGAACAAAAAGGCGGUGGAUGAGGCACAUUUACUAGAAUAACAAACACAUAAAACACCUUGAGACCAUAACAAAAGUAUGCAACCGAGGGAUAUUGCACCCAAGAGUGGAAAGGUGCAGAGUUACGUACCUACAAUAGACUGUGCCGCCACCAACCAGAGCUUGUGCUUAGAAACCUUUCACGAAAUCUUGCUUGUACCAGCAUCUUCAUGUCGUUACUUCCAAAGUUAUUCAAAGUACUAUACUGUAUUCAACAAACAACUUGUACACUGCACGCUAAAACAAA
rnacentral:lncRNA from 1 species